rnacentral:rRNA from 1 species
UACGUAGGGGGGCGAGCGUUGUCCGGAUUUAUUGGGCGUAAAGAGCGUGUAGGCGGCCAGGUAGGUCUGCUGUGAAAACUCGAGGCUCAACCUCGAGACGUCGGCGGAAACCAUCUGGCUAGAGUCCGGAAGAGGAGAGUGGAAUUCCUGGUGUAGCGGUGAAAUGCGCAGAUAUCAGGAAGAACACCCGUGGCGAAGGCGGCUCUCUGGGACGGUACUG